rnacentral:rRNA from 1 species
CAGCCGCCGCGGUAAUACGAAGGGGGCUAGCGUUGCUCGGAAUGACUGGGCGUAAAGGGCGCGUAGGCGGUUGUCAUAGUCGGGUGUGAAAUUCCUGGGCUUAACCUGGGGGCUGCAUUCGAUACGUGGCGGCUUGAGUGGGGAAGAGGGUCGUGGAAUUCCCAGUGUAGAGGUGAAAUUCGUAGAUAUUGGGAAGGACACCGGUGGCGAAGGCGGCGACCUGGUCCUUUACUGACGCUGAGGCGCGAAAGCGUGAGGAGCAAACAGGAUUAGAUACCCGUGUAGUCCCUGUCUCUUAUAC